rnacentral:rRNA from 1 species
GUCAAGUCAUCACGGCCCUUACGCCUGGGGCGACACACGUGCUACAAUGGCCGGUACAAAGGGUUGCGAGGCCGCGAGGCGGAGCCAAUCCCAAAAAGCCGGUCUCAGUUCGGAUCGGAGUCUGCAACUCGACUCCGUGAAGUCGGAAUCGCUAGUAAUCGCGGAUCAGCCAUGCCGCGGUGAAUACGUUCCCGGGCCUU